rnacentral:SRP_RNA from 1 species
GUUGGGAGUGGUGGUGUACUCCUGUAAUCCAACUACUCGGAGGUUGAGUAUGGAGGAUACUUUAAGGGUUGGGAGUUUCGGGAUUGGAUUUCCCACGUUGACUAGGCGUCCGCUAGGGGUUAAGCUUCGACUUGAAUGCCUUGGGAAGGCCGAGGUACUCAGGUUGAGUCUGAAAAAUCGCCCCAAAAGUCACCGAGUUGAGAGUCGUGGGUUCAGAUCCUGGCGUUGGGGAUGCGCCGACCCUUGUUCGAGGGGUUGAAACUGGGUACUU